rnacentral:rRNA from 1 species
CUACGGGGCGCUGCAGUGGGGAAUCUUGCGCAAUGGGCGAAAGCCUGACGCAGCGACGCCGCGUGGAUGAUGAAGGCCCUCGGGUCGUAAAGUCCUGUUCUGGGGGAAGAAACCACUUCGGUGCUGACGGUACCCCAGAAGAAAGCACAGGCUAACUCCGUGCCAGCAGCCGCGGUAAUACGGAGUGUGCUAGCGUUGUUCGGAUUUACUGGGCGUAAAGCGCAUGUAGGCGGCUUGACAAGUCGGAUGUGAAAUCCCGGGGCUCAACUCCGGAACUGCAUUCGAAACUGUCUUGCUUGAGUCCGGGAGGGGGUUGCGGAAUUCCGUGUGUAGAGGUGAAAUUCGUAGAUAUACGGAGGAACACCCGUGGCGAAGGCGGCAACCUGGACCGGUACUGACGCUGAGAUGCGAAAGCGUGGGGAGCAAACAGGAUUAGAUACCCCGGUAGUC